rnacentral:rRNA from 1 species
UGGAUAACCUACCUAUAAGACUGGGAUAACUUCGGGAAACCGGAGCUAAUACCGGAUAAUAUUUUGAACCGCAUGGUUCAAAAGUGAAAGACGGUCUUGCUGUCACUUAUAGAUGGAUUCGCGCUGCAUUAGCUAGUUGGUAAGGUAACGGCUUACCAAGGCAACGAUGCAUAGCCGACCUGAGAGGGUGAUCGGCCACACUGGAACUGAGACACGGUCCAG